AUUGGGCGUAAGCGCGCGCAGGCGGUCCUUUAAGUCUGAUGUGAAAGCCCACGGCUCAACCGUGGAGGGGCAUUGGAAACUGGGGGACUUGAGUGCAGAAGAGGAAAGCGGAAUUCCACGUGUAGCGGUGAAAUGCGUAGAGAUGUGGAGGAACACCAGUGGCGAAGGCGGCUUUCUGGUCUGUAACUGACGCUGAGGCGCGAAAGCGUGGGGAGCAAACAGGAUUAGAUACCCUGGUAGUCCACGCCGUAAACGAUGAGUGCUAAGUGUUAGGGGGUUUCCGCCCCUUACUGCUGCAGCUAACGCAUUAAGCACUCCGCCUGGGGAGUACGGCCGCAAGGCUGAAACUCAAAGGAAUUGACGGGGGCCCGCACAAGCGGUGGAGCAUGUGGUUUAAUUCUAAGCAACGCGAAGAACCUUACCAGGUCUUGACAUCCUCUGACACUCCUAGAGAUAGGACGUUCCCCUUCGGGGGACAGAGUGACAGGUGGUGCAUGGUUGUCGUCAGCUCGUGUCGUGAGAUGUGGGGUUAAGUCCCGCAACGAGCGCACCCCUU
rnacentral:rRNA from 2 species